GUGAGGAAUAUUGGUCAAUGGGCGGGAGCCUGAACCAGCCAAGUCGCGUGAAGGAAGAAGGAUCUAUGGUUCGUAAACUUCUUUUGCAGGGGAAUAAAGUGCAGGACGUGUCCUGUUUUGUAUGUACCCUGAGAAUAAGGAUCGGCUAACUCCGUGCCAGCAGCCGCGGUAAUACGGAGGAUCCGAGCGUUAGCCGGAUUGAUUGGGUUUAAAGGGUGCGUAGGUGGUUUGAUAAGUCAGCGGUGAAAGUUUGCAGCUUAACUGUAAAAAUGCCGUUGAAACUGUCGGACUUGAGUGUAAAUGAGGUAGGCGGAAUGCGUGGUGUAGCGGUGAAAUGCAUAGAUAUCACGCAGAACUCCGAUUGCGAAGGCAGCUUACUAAGCUACAACUGACACUGAAGCACGAAAGCGUGGGGAUCAAACAGGAUUAGAUACCCGUGUAGUCC
rnacentral:rRNA from 1 species